rnacentral:rRNA from 1 species
GACGAACGCUGGCGGCGUGCUUAACACAUGCAAGUCGAACGGAAAGGCCCUGCUUUUGUGGGGUGCUCGAGUGGCGAACGGGUGAGUAACACGUGAGUAACCUGCCCUUGACUUUGGGAUAACUUCAGGAAACUGGGGCUAAUACCGGAUAGGAGCUCCUGCUGCAUGGUGGGGGUUGGAAAGUUUCGGCGGUUGGGGAUGGACUCGCGGCUUAUCAGCUUGUUGGUGGGGUAGUGGCUUACCAAGGCUUUGACGGGUAGCCGGCCUGAGAGGGUGACCGGCCACAUUGGGACCGAGGUAAGGGCCAGGCCCCUACGGGGGGGAACAGGGGGGAAUUAUGGACAAUGGGCGGAAGGCUGAUGCAGGAAAGCCGCGUGCGGGAAGAAGGGCUUUGGGUUGGAAACCGCUUUCGCCUGUGACGAAGCGUGAGUGACGGUAAUGGGGUAAGAAGCAACGGCUAACUACGUG